rnacentral:rRNA from 1 species
UACGUAGGGGGGCUAGCGUUGUCCGGAAUCAUUGGGCGUAAAGCGCGUGUAGGCGGUCCGGUAAGUCUGCUGUGAAAGUCGGGGGCUCAGCCCUCGAAUGCCGGUGGAUACUGUCGGGCUAGAGUGCGGAAGAGGCGAGUGGAAUUCCUGGUGUAGCGGUGAAAAUGCGCAGAUAUCAGGAGGAACACCGAUGGCGAAGGCAGGUCUCUGGGCAUUAACUGACGCUGAGGAGCGAAAGCAUGGGGAGCGAACAGG